rnacentral:rRNA from 1 species
CCCUAGUAACGGCGAGUGAAGCGGCAACAGCUCAAAUUUGAAAUCUGGCGCAAGCCCGAGUUGUAAUUUGUAGAGGAUGCUUCUAGGUAGCGACCGGUCUAAGUUCCUUGGAACAGGACGUCAUAGAGGGUGAGAAUCCCGUAUGUGACCGGCCCGCACCUUCUACGUAGCUCCUUCGACGAGUCGAGUUGUUUGGGAAUGCAGCUCUAAAUGGGAGGUAAAUUUCUUCUAAAGCUAAAUACCGGCCAGAGACCGAUAGCGCACAAGUAGAGUGAUCGAAAGAUGAAAAGCACUUUGGAAAGAGAGUUAAAAAGCACGUGAAAUUGUUGAAAGGGAAGCGCUUACAACCAGACUUCUGGGCGGUGUUCCGCCGGUCUUCUGACCGGUCUACUCACCGUCCCGAGGCCAACAUCAUCUGGGACCGCCGGAUAAGACCUCAGGAAUGUAGCUCCCUUCGGGGAGUGUUAUAGCCUGUGGUGAUGCGGCGCGUCUCGGGUGAGGUCCGCGCUUCGGCAAGGAUGUUGGCGUAAUGGUUGUCAGCGGCCCGUCUUGAAACACGGACCAAGGAGUCUAACAUCUAUGCGAGUGUUCGGGUGUCAAACCCCUACGCGUAAUGAAAGUGAACGGAGGUGGGAAGGGUAACCUGCACCAUCGACCGAUCCUGAUGUCCUCGGAUGGAUUUGAGUAAGAGCAUAGCUGUUGGGACCCGAAAGAUGGUGAACUAUGCCUGAAUAGGGUGAAGCCAGAGGAAACUCUGGUGGAGGCUCGCAGCGGUUCUGACGUGCAAAUCGAUCGUCAAAUUUGGGUAUAGGGGCGAAAGACUAAUCGA